UACGUAGGGGGCAAGCGUUGUCCGGAUUUAUUGGGCGUAAAGAGCGUGUAGGCGGCUGGGUAGGUCCGUUGUGAAACUCGAGCUCAACCUCGAGACGCCGAUGGAAACCCUCCAGCUAGAGUCCGGAAGAGGAGAGUGGAAUUCCUGGUGUAGCGGUGAAAUGCGCAGAUAUCAGGAAGAACACCCGUGGCGAAGGCGGCUCUCUGUACGUGACUGACGCUGAGACGCGAAAGCGUGGGGAGAACAGGAUUAGAACCUCGAGUC
rnacentral:rRNA from 1 species